CCUUCUUGUGAGAUUGUGAGCUUUUAAGAUGCAUUAAGCAUCUACAACCGCACUAAGUGCGGUUCCACGAUACCGGCCAUGCGGUACACUUGAACCAACUUGUGCUGUGGUGUUGGGGGCCUGUCCCCGGCAGCCCGGAAGCAAAAUGAUGUGACCGCACCUAAUUCAGGAAAGCCGACGACUAUUUCAUUAUUUUUGGCAUGAACUACUAACCUUUUUUUAUCAACUCUACAUAAUGUGAAAAUUUCAUGGACUUAACCUCAUCGGACUUCUCGUCAAACUUUGUCUUCUCUUCUAUCUUAAAGAAAUUUUUU